UCUGCCAUCCUCCCUCCCCUAC
rnacentral:miRNA from 1 species